CCGGCGACCGGCGCACGGGUGAGUAACGCGUAUGCGACCUGUCCGUUGCAGGGGGAUAAUCGGGAGAAAUCCCGUCUAAUACCGCGUAACGCCGCGGGGCUGCAUGGCCCUGCGGCCAAAGGGAGCGAUUCCGGCAACGGAUGGGCAUGCGUGACAUUAGCUAGUUGGCGGGGCAACGGCCCACCAAGGCGACGACGUCUAGGGGUUCUGAGAGGAAGGUCCCCCACACUGGUACUGAGACACGGACCAGACUCCUACGGGAGGCAGCAG
rnacentral:rRNA from 1 species